UGGGGUAUCGCCAAGCGGUAAGGCACCGGUUUUUGAUACCGGCAUUCCCUGGUUCGAAUCCAGGUACCCCAGCCACUU
rnacentral:tRNA from 1 species